rnacentral:rRNA from 1 species
GAUGAACGCUGGCGGCGUGCCUAAUACAUGCAAGUCGAGCGAACAGACGAGGAGCUUGCUCCUCUGACGUUAGCGGCGGACGGGUGAGUAACACGUGGAUAACCUACCUAUAAGACUGGGAUAACUUCGGGAAACCGGAGCUAAUACCGGAUAAUAUAUUGAACCGCAUGGUUCAAUAGUGAAAGACGGUUUUGCUGUCACUUAUAGAUGGAUCCGCGCCGCAUUAGAUAGUUGGUAAGGUAACGGCUUACCAAGGCGACGAUGCGUAGCCGACCUGAGAGGGGGAUCGGCCACACUGGAACUGAGACGCGGUCCAGACUCCUACGGGAGGCAGCAGUAGGGAAUCUUCCGCAAUGGGCGAAAGCCUGACGGAGCAACGCCGCGUGAGUGAUGAAGGUCUUCGGAUCGUAAAACUCUGUUAUUAGGGAAGAACAAAUGUGUAAGUAACUAUGCACGUCUUGACGGUACCUAAACAGAAAGCCACGGCUAACUACGU